GACGAACGCUGGCGGCGUGCUUAACACAUGCAAGUCGAACGGAAAGGCCCUGCUUUUGUGGGGUGCUCGAGUGGCGAACGGGUGAGUAACACGUGAGUAACCUGCCCUUGACUUUGGGAUAACUUCAGGAAACUGGGGCUAAUACCGGAUAGGAGCUCCUGCUGCAUGGUGGGGGUUGGAAAGUUUCGGCGGUUGGGGAUGGACUCGCGGCUUAUCAGCUUGUUGGUGGGGUAGUGGCUUACCAAGGCUUUGACGGGUAGCCGGCCUGAGAGGGUGACCGGCCACAUUGGGACUGAGAUACGGCCCGGACUCCUACGGGAGGCAGCAGUGGGGAAUAUUGCACAAUGGGCGGAAGCAUGAUGCAGCAACGCCGCGUGCGGGAUGACGGCCUUCGGGUUGUAAACCGCUUUCGCCUGUGACGAAGCGUGAGUGACGGUAAUGGGUAAAGAAGCACCGGCUAACUACGU
rnacentral:rRNA from 1 species